GACGAACGCUGGCGGCGUGCCUAACACAUGCAAGUCGAGCGAAGAAUAUAUAAAGAAAUCUUCGGAUGGAAUUAUGUAUUUCUUAGCGGCGGACGGGUGAGUAACGCGUGAGGAACCUGCCUUGUACUAGGGGAUAGCCUCGGGAAACCGGGAUUAAUACCCUAUGAUACUUGAAAGUCGCAUGACUUUCAAGUCAAAGCGAUUUAGCGGUACAAGAUGGCCUCGCGUCCCAUUAGCUAGUUGGCGAGGUAAUAGCUCACCAAGGCGACGAUGGGUAGCCGGCCUGAGAGGGUGAACGGCCACACUGGAACUGAGACACGGUCCAGACUCCUACGGGAGGCAGCAGUGGGGAAUAUUGCACAAUGGAGGAAACUCUGAUGCAGCGUCGCCGCGUGAGCGAUGAAGGUUUUCGAAUCGUAAAGCUCUGUCCUAAGGGACGAUAAUGACGGUACCUUAGGAGGAAGCCCCGGCUAACUACGUGCCAGCAGCCGCGGUAAUACGUAGGGGGCGAGCGUUGUCCGGAUUUAUUGGGCGUAAAGGGUGCGUAGGCGGCCUUGUAAGUCAGAUGUGAAAUCUCACGGCUUAACCGUGGUAAGCAUUUGAAACUGUGAGGCUUGAGUACAGGAGAGGAGAGUGGAAUUCCUAGUGUAGCGGUGAAAUGCGUAGAUAUUAGGAGGAAUACCAGUGGCGAAGGCGACUCUCUGGACUGUAACUGACGCUGAGGCACGAAAGCGUGGGGAGCAAACAGGAUUAGAUACCCUGGUAGUCCACGCCGUAGACGAUGAGUGCUAGGUGUCGGGGUCAACCUCGGUGCCGCAGUUACACAUUAAGCACUCCGCCUGGGGAGUACGGUGGCACACUGAACUCAA
rnacentral:rRNA from 1 species